GACGAACGCUGGCGGCGUGCCUAAUACAUGCAAGUAGAACGCUGAAGCGAGGAGCUUGCUCUUCUUGGCUGAGUUGCGAACGGGUGAGUAACGCGUAGGUAACCUGCCUUGUAGCGGGGGAUAACUAUUGGAAACGAUAGCUAAUACCGCAUAACACUGGAUGACACAUGUCAUUUAUUUGCAAGGGGCAAUUGCUCCACUACAAGAUGGAUCUGCGUUGUAUUAGCUAGUAGGUGAGGUAAUGGCUCACCUAGGCGACGAUACAUAGCCGACCUGAGAGGGUGAUCGGCCACACUGGGACUGAGACACGGCCCAGACUCCUACGGGGGGCAGCAGUAGGGAAUCAUCGGCAAUGGGGGCAACCCUGACCGAGCAACGCCGCGUGAGGGAAGAAGGUUUUCGGAUCGUAAAGCUCUGUUGUAAGUCAAGAACGGGUGUGAGAGUGGAAAGUUCACACUGUGACGGUAGCUUAACAGAAAGGGACGGCUAACUACGUG
rnacentral:rRNA from 1 species